GUGGGGAAUAUUGGACAAUGGGCGCAAGCCUGAUCCAGCAAUGCCGCGUGGGUGAAGAAGGUCUUCGGAUCGUAAAGCCCUUUCGACAGGGACGAUGAUGACGGUACCUGUAGAAGAAGCCCCGGCUAACUUCGUGCCAGCAGCCGCGGUAAUACGAAGGGGGCUAGCGGUACUCGGAAUUACUGGGCGUAAAGGGCGCGUAGGCGGCUCUGUUAGUCAGGCGUGAAAUUCCUGGGCUUAACCUGGGGACUGCGCUUGAUACUGCAGGGCUUGAGGCCGAGAGAGGGUGGUGGAAUUCCCAGUGUAGAGGUGAAAUUCGUAGAUAUUGGGAAGAACACCGGUGGCGAAGGCGACCACCUGGCUCGGUUCUGACGCUGAGGCGCGACAGCGUGGGGAGCAAACAGGAUUAGAAACCCGGGUAGUCC
rnacentral:rRNA from 1 species